rnacentral:rRNA from 1 species
UACGUAGGGGGCAAGCGUUGUCCGGAUUUAUUGGGCGUAAAGAGCGUGUAGGCGGCCAUACAGGUCCGUUGUGAAAACUGGAGGCUUAACCUCCAGACGUCGAUGGAAACCGUAUGGCUAGAGUCCGGAAGAGGAGAGUGGAAUUCCUGGUGUAGCGGUGAAAUGCGCAGAUAUCAGGAGGAGCACCGGUGGCGAAGGCGGCAUCCUGGACCGACACUGACGCUGAGGAGCGAAAGCCAGGGGAGCAAACGGG